rnacentral:rRNA from 1 species
UACGGGGGGGGCAAGCGUUGUUCGGAAUUACUGGGCGUAAAGGGCUUGUAGGCGGCCAACUAAGUCCGACGUGAAAUCCCCAGGCUUAACCUGGGAACUGCGUCGGAUACUGGAUGGCUUGAAUUCGGGAGAGGGAUGCAGAAUUCCAGGUGUAGCGGUGAAAUGCGUAGAUAUCUGGAGGAAUACCGGUGGCGAAGGCGGCAUCCUGGACCGACAUUGACGCUGAGGAGCGAAAGUGUGGGGAGCGAACAGG